GGCGAACGCUGGCGGCGUGCUUAAGACAUGCAAGUCGUACGAGAAAGUCUCUUCGGAGAUGAGUAAAGUGGCGCACGGGUGAGUAACGCGUGGGUAAUCUGCCCUUAGGAUUGGGAUAACCCGGGAACCGGAGCUAAGUACCGAAUGAGACCACGAUGACUCGUCGAUGUGGGAAAAGGUGGCCUCUUCUUGAAGCUAUCGCCAAAGGAUGAGCCCGCGUUUGAUUAGCAGUUGGUGAGGUAAUGCUCACCAAGGCGACGAUCAAUAGCUGGUCUGAGAGGAUGAUCAGCCACACUGGAACUGAGAUACGGUCCA
rnacentral:rRNA from 1 species